UACGUGGGGGGCUAGCGUUGUUCGGAAUUACUGGGCGUAAAGCGCGCGCAGGCGGUCUUCCAAGUCAGUGGUGAAAGCCCGGAGCUCAACUCCGGAACUGCCAUUGAAACUGUAAGACUUGAGGAUGAGAGAGGUGAGUGGAAUUCCCAGUGUAGAGGUGAAAUUCGUAGAUAUUGGGAAGAACACCGGUGGCGAAGGCGGCGCACUGGCUCAUUACUGACGCUCAGGCGCGAAAGCGUGGGGAGCAAACAGG
rnacentral:rRNA from 1 species